CAAUUUAUCAAGACCUGAGUACAGGCACAGGC
rnacentral:piRNA from 2 species